rnacentral:rRNA from 1 species
AUUGAACGCUGGCGGCAGGCCUAACACAUGCAAGUCGAACGAGUGGCGGACGGGUGAGUAAUGUCUGGGAAACUGCCUGAUGGAGGGGGAUAACUACUGGAAACGGUAGCUAAUACCGCAUACCAUCGGAUGUGCCCAGAUGGGAUUAGCUUGUUGGUGGGGUAACGGCUCACCAAGGCGACGAUCCCUAGCUGGUCUGAGAGGAUGACCAGCACAGCUGGAACUGAGACACUGUCCAGACUCGUACGGGAGGCAGCAGUGGGGAAUAUGGCAAAAGGGGGGCAAGCCUGAUGCAGCCAUGCCGCGUGUAUGAAGAAGGCCUUCGGGUUGUAAAGUACUUGCAGCGGGGAGGCGUUACCCGCAGAAGAAGCACCGGCUAACUCCGUGCCAGCAGCCGCGGUAAUAC